GGAUAGUCUAGUGGCUAAGAGGGUGUUUGACUCCCAGCCGGAAGGUUCUGGGUUCAAACCCCAGUCUACAGCCUA